GUGGCAUCAUCACCAUCCAUUCAUCAUCAUCGCUUACAUCACAUGCUGAACAACUUACCAAACUUGAUUAUUGUUGUCUUCUAGCUACGUGUCGCUUACGUCACGUGCUUGUCGUGGGGAAUUAGUCUACAUGACAUGUUAUUGUUUGUGUACGAUGAUAAUCCACGAGAGAACAACGCAGAAACAAUUAUUUGUUUCAUCCCCGAUAAAAUUAUGAUGCUUUAUAUAUUUGUUUAAUAAUAAUGUUUUGAUAAAUGUUAAUCUAUUACAAUACAAAAGAAUGUCUAAUUUUAAUGGCCGACUCACAAAAUUUUAGGUAUUCUAUAACUCAUAUUCUACCAAAAAUAGCUAAUUUAAGAAUGUCACAUGCAUUCUAACUUGCUCACGAAUCCUGACAUUGCCUUAACCACAACCUAUUGACUAUUUUGAGAUUUCUCCUCCGUGAACUCCGACCAUUUUUUUGCCUUUUGACCACCACAUUUGUUUUUUCUCUG